AGAAUUAUAGUUCAAUCGAUUAGAACAUUGUUCUGUCAAGACAAAAGUUACGGGUUCUAGCCCCGUCAAUUCAG